GCCCAGACCACCAGCUAAGGUCCCAAAAUAUAUGUUAAGUGGAAAAGGCUGUGGCGUUGCCCAGACAACUAGUAUGUUGGCUUAGAAGCAGCCAUCAUUUAAAGAGUGCGUAAUAGCUCACUAGUCGAGUGACACUGCGCCGAAAAUGUACCGGGGCUAAACAUAUUACCGAAGCUGUGGAUUGUCCUUUGGACAAUGGUAGGAGAGCGUUCUAAGGGCGUUGAAGCAUGAUCGUAAGGACAUGUGGAGCGCUUAGAAGUGAGAAUGCCGGUGUGAGUAGCGAAAGACGGGUGAGAAUCCCGUCCACCGAUUGACUAAGGUUUCCAGAGGAAGGCUCGUCCGCUCUGGGUUAGUCGGGUCCUAAGCUGAGGCCGACAGGCGUAGGCGAUGGAUAACAGGUUGAUAUUCCUGUACCACCUAUAAUCGUUUUAAUCGAUGGGGGGACGCAGUAGGAUAGGCGAAGCGUGCGAUUGGAUUGCACGUCUAAGCAGUAAGGCUGAGUAUUAGGCAAAUCCGGUACUCGUUAAGGCUGAGCUGUGAUGGGGAGAAGACAUUGUGUCUUCGAGUCGUUGAUUUCACACUGCCGAGAAAAGCCUCUAGAUAGAAAAUAGGUGCCCGUACCGCAAACCGACACAGGUAGUCAAGAUGAGAAUUCUAAGGUGAGCGAGCGAACUCUCGUUAAGGAACUCGGCAAAAUGACCCCGUAACUUCGGGAGAAGGGGUGCUCUUUAGGGUUAACGCCCAGAAGAGCCGCAGUGAAUAGGCCCAAGCGACUGUUUAUCAAAAACACAGGUCUCUGCUAAACCGUAAGGUGAUGUAUAGGGGCUGACGCCUGCCCGGUGCUGGAAGGUUAAGAGGAGUGGUUAGCUUCUGCGAAGCUACGAAUCGAAGCCCCAGUAAACGGCGGCCGUAACUAUAACGGUCCUAAGGUAGCGAAAUUCCUUGUCGGGUAAGUUCCGACCCGCACGAAAGGCGUAACGAUUUGGGCACUGUCUCAACGAGAGACUCGGUGAAAUCAUAGUACCUGUGAAGAUGCAGGUUACCCGCGACAGGACGGAAAGACCCCGUGGAGCUUUACUGUAGCCUGAUAUUGAAAUUCGGCACAGCUUGUACAGGAUAGGUAGGAGCCUUUGAAACGUGAGCGCUAGCUUACGUGGAGGCGCUGGUGGGAUACUACCCUAGCUGUGUUGGCUUUCUAACCCGCACCACUUAUCGUGGUGGGAGACAGUGUCAAGCGGGCAGUUUGACUGGGGCGGUCGCCUCCUAAAAGGUAACGGAGGCGCUCAAAGGUUCCCUCAGAAUGGUUGGAAAUCAUUCAUAGAGUGUAAAGGCAUAAGGGAGCUUGACUGCGAGACCUACAAGUCGAGCAGGGUCGAAAGACGGACUUAGUGAUCCGGUGGUUCCGCAUGGAAGGGCCAUCGCUCAACGGAUAAAAGCUACCCCGGGGAUAACAGGCUUAUCUCCCCCAAGAGUUCACAUCGACGGGGAGGUUUGGCACCUCGAUGUCGGCUCAUCGCAUCCUGGGGCUGUAGUCGGUCCCAAGGGUUGGGCUGUUCGCCCAUUAAAGCGGUACGCGAGCUGGGUUCAGAACGUCGUGAGACAGUUCGGUCCCUAUCCGUCGUGGGCGUAGGAAAUUUGAGAGGAGCUGUCCUUAGUACGAGAGGACCGGGAUGGACAUACCUCUGGUGUACCAGUUGUCGUGCCAACGGCAUAGCUGGGUAGCUAUGUGUGGACGGGAUAAGUGCUGAAAGCAUCUAAGCAUGAAGCCCCCCUCAAGAUGAGAUUUCCCAACUUCGGUUAUAAGAUCCCUCAAAGAUGAUGAGGUUAAUAGGUUCGAGGUGGAAGCAUGGUGACAUGUGGAGCUGACGAAUACUAAUCGAUCGAAGACUUAAUCAAAA
rnacentral:rRNA from 1 species